UCCUUGGUGGCUCAGAUGGUAAAGAAUCUGCUUGCAACGUGGGAGACCCAGGUUUGAUUCCUGGAUAGGGAA
rnacentral:tRNA from 1 species